GGCCCGGUAGCGGAUAGUCUGCACCUGUGUGAAAUCAGCGCCUCAGCUAGCACAUUAUAGCAGGACAUGCUCGUUCGAUUCGAGCCCGGGCCA